UUUCCUAUAGAAAUCAUUUAGGUCUCUCUCAUCUGGCGGUCUUUCUAGGCUGUGGUGUUGAAGAGGGUAACAUUUAAGAACAUUCUAAGAAGAAACUUUAUUUUCCUGCUUUUGAAUAUGUCAUAAUGUUUUCUCUGAGUGUGUUUAGCAGGAAUAAACUGGGGGCUGUUGCUUGGGUGAUAGUUGGGUCAGUCUUAGAUCAAAGAGGAAGCUGCCAGCCAACUCUGGGCCUUCCCUGGGGCUUGUUUUGGUGUUUCCUUGUCUAACUUUCCUUUUUUUCCUCAAACUUUUUGUGUGCUUUUCUUUUUUUGUGAGACGCUCUGUUCCAAUAGGGGAAUGGCCCUGACUACAUUACUGGGUUUAAGAUAAUGGUUAAAAGCAUGAUCUUUAGAGUUGAACUAAUGUGGGUUUAAAUUCUGACUUUUUCCGUUUUCAGUCCUUGUGACUAUGGACAGUUUAUUUCACCACCCUAAGACUUGGUUACUUCUAGGAUGGACAUAAAAACAGCACCUGUUUCACUUUGCCAGGAUUAAAAACAUAAUUAUGUAAAUCACACAGAACAGCAAUAACACUUAAAAACUCUUACAGAAUGUUUAGUAGUACAGGUUGAAUAUACUUUAUCCAAAAUACGUGGGAUAAACCGUGUUCUAAAUUUCAGAUUUUUUCAGAUUUUGGAGCAUUUGCAUUAUACUUACCUUUUGAGCAUCCCUAAUCCCAAAAUAUGAAAUUUGGAAUGUGAUAACGAGCAUUUUCUUUGAGUAUUAUGUUGGUGCUUAAAAAUGUUUCAGAUUUUGGAGAACUUUGGAUUUUGGAUUUUUGGAUUAAGGAUGUUCAAUCUGUAUUAUCAAUAUACUUAGGAGCGCCAACCCACCAGCAGCAACUGAUGAGUCACAUGACGAUUCCGAACUGUGCUUAGUGGUCUAUGGCGAAACGAGAGAAAGAACAGCCUGGUUCUUGGUUCUAAGGAGAUCAGAGAAAGACGAGACUUACACAUGCAUGGAAAAUGAUGAGCUAAACAGAUGUGAGUCAGUGUUUAAUAAAAUGCUAGGUUGAAUUAGGCAGGUGAUAAGAGGAAUUGAAAUGCAGGAAAGAGAGGUCACUAUGAGAAGUGGGGGCUGCCUACAAUUUACUGUGCAUAUACUAUGUGCCAGGUUUCACUGGGCCUCUCAAUCAUUACCAUAGCCCUGGGGAGUGGACAUUUUUACCCCCACUUUAUUCACAAAAGGGCACUAAGAGACGUGAAAUGAGUCAUCCAAGGCCAUACAGCUAGAAUUGGCAUUUGAACCUAACCUGUAAUGUGGCCGGCAGGCUUGAGCUGACCUUGAAAGAAGGGUAGAGUUCAGAAAGGCAGAGGUAAAAGGGAGCUGCAUUCCUUGGCUUGCAGGUUUGUGGGGCUGUGGAACUGUGCCCAACAGGGAAGACAUUAGGACUGUUGCUUGGGGCAAGAGAAGGCCCCGUUAGGGAAGACUGCCGGGCUUGUCAUGCCUGGCAGGCCGUGGGCAUCAGGGCCAGCCAGUCCUGGCAGGCAAAGACCACAUAUGGCUUCUGUCUUGCCACAGCCAAGAAAUGAAACCUGAUACUCACCCUGGCCCCGCAAGACGCCAGGUAUUUGCCUUCUUAUCAAGCUGGGCACAUUCCAUGGCCAAGUGGCCACCUGGGUGACUUCUGUCAGGGCAGAUCUACUUUAGGCUGUGUGCGCAUUUGCAUUCCUGCCUGUCUGGCAAGUUUUGCAUUUUGAGAGUCUGCCCUGGCUAGAGGGGGGCUGGCAGGAUGGUGUGCUACCCAUACUGCCCUCCGCAGCAAUGGGACUGACGGCACCCUGGGACAGGCACUGCGUCUGGUGUAAGAGGACCUAGGUUUGAAUCCUGUCCUACCUUUCUUAGUUGUAUGACCCUGGGUGGGCCACCUCAUCUCUCCAGGCCUCCAUUUCCCUGACCAUAAAAUGGGAAUGGUUAAAAAACCCCUACUUUUGGUUUCACGUUGAAUAUUAAAUAUCAUAAAGAGGCUGACCUACCUUGGUAGGUGUUCCACAAAAUUAAUUACCAUUUUUAAUGGUAUUAGCUGUUUCUGGAACAUUGAGAGUCCUGAGCUUUAGAACAGGGUACAGGCAGCAGGGUUGGGAAUGGUGGGGAGUGGUCAAGAAUGAAUACAAAAAUGUGGUGUGAAGCUGCCAUGAUACCUGGCUUGCUUACCCUUGGAAGAGCCCCAGCUUCCCAUCCUGAGCUAUGAGAGGAAAUUUGAGUAAGGUUUGGGCUUUUUGGAACUCUAUGCUUCACCUGAUUGCUCAGAAGGGCUGUGUGUUGCAAUGAGACUUUGCCCCUAAAAAUUCUCUGCUGGGCUGAAGUUGGGCUUGAGGAGAGUUUAGCUCAAAUGUAUUACCCAGCUGGGAACUACAUCCCAAGUGAGAGACCAUAGCAAUCAUAUGUGCAAAUGAAGCAUGCAUUUGGACAUUAUGCAUAACAAUAUGCAAAUAAGCAUAAUAUUUUUUAUCUUAUAUCUAGGGCUUAGUGGAAACAGAACACAAUAUGUGUCAGACACACUUAGAUUUAAACCACAGCUUGCCUCCUGUAUGAACUUGGGCAAGCUCCUUAAUUUCUCUUAGUUUCCUUUCUCAUGUGAGGAGGGCCAUAUUCCUUUACCUUUUGUUUCUCUAGGCACUCGCAACAGCCGUGUAAGGUUGGCAGUAUUAUGAUUAUUAUCACGAUGAGCAAACAAUCUCAGAUCACUUAAGUUGUUUGGCCAAGUUCACUCAUCUAAGAGACCCAGGGUAAGAACAAGGUCUUGCACUAGGAUCAAGCCCUACCUGUUGAAAACCUCAGCCAGGUCCCCAGGGACCCUGACAAAGGAGUCCUGAGCUGGCUGUCCAGUUGGAGACCUUGAGCCCUUCCUCAGACUUCCCAAUCCCUGUGCUUUUCCCAACUAAAUUCCUGUUGUCUGGUGAUACCAACUGGAUAUUUGCAUAGUGUAUCUCAGAGAACAAUCUCAGGCCAAAACCCUGAUGUGUUAUGAGAGGCUGGCUAAUGAUAUCAGGCACCAUUUUUCUGUUGCCGUGGAGCAGAUGGGGUAGAUUGACUAUUCCAGGGGGGUGUAAAAAUUUUCUGGAUAGCUAUUGCUAAGAAAGCUCAUAAAUGGGCUGCAAGGUGUUUCUAUGGGGACCUUUAUUGGGCUUUAUGAAGAGUCACUAGGGAAUCAUCCAAAGGGCCCGAGGUUUUGAUUUUGACUAUUUCAGCCUGAAGUCAACUUUAUUCUCAAAAACCUGCCUGACCAGCCAACAGCUCUGAUGAACACAACACAAAAUUGGGUGACAGUGGAGACAGUAGUUCUGGUUAAUUCUGGGUUUCAGAAAAUGGAACGACUCCUUAGAGGUGGCAGACCUGUAGAUCAAAUAGGAAUUUUAUUUUCCUCAGUAAAUGAGGGGAAAAUCCAAAGUGGCUAGAGGAGAUGCUGUCGCUUUUGUGAAUGCAUUCUUAGUGUUUUCUUCAUUUGGCCUUGCACUUGUUAGCAGGAGCACGUGGAUGCUGACUGCGGUGAGGUGCCAGGGGAAGAGGAAGAGAGGCUGCACGAUGAACUGCAUUAGGCCAGGAAGAGCAGGUUUCUACUAAUCAGGUUGCACACCAGCGUGAGAUCUCAGUUUAAUGUUUUGUCAAAGAAGCAAGAUUGUCACAGGUAAGGACUAAAACUAAGGUAUAAAAAGAAAGGAGAAAGGUUGAGAAGAAAAAUGAAGAGGAAAAUCAAGGAGGCAGAGGAGGAUAAAGGAAUGAAGGGAGAGAAAACAAAAGAAAAAGAGGGAAGGAAAGAGGAGGAAAAAGAGUAUGGAGGGUAUUCCAUGACUACAUCACAAGCAACGAUGGAGAGAGGAGGCUGGAGAAGAGGCAGGUGAUGGUUUCCUGAGUCAGCCCAGGGCUGGAGACACAGUGGUUUGAUUGACAGUUUUGGAGGCUUCCGAUUAGGGCUUAGGGGCUGCUGACCUCUUAGUUUCAGCUCCUCCUCUUACUCCCCCUAUCCUUCCUGCUUCAUGGGGUAUAGGUGAAGGGAAUAGAGGACAAAGAAUAUUUAUCAAAGUUUUCCUUUAAGAAAAGGUAACUUAUCUUAGUCCUUUUGUUCUGCUAUAACAGAAUUCCCGAGACUAGGUAAUUUGUAAAGAACAGAAAUUUCUCACAGUUCUGGAGGCUGGGAAGAUCAAGGCACCAGCAGGUUUGGUGUCUGGUGAUGGCUGCUGUGUGCUCCCAAGAUGGCGCCCUCAUGCUGCAUCCUCCAGAGAGAAGGAACACUGUGUCCUCAUGGCUGAACACGGAAGGGCAAGUGGGGGCCAACUCCUUGUGCCAAACCUCUGUAUAAGGGUACUUAAUUCCAAGCCCGAGGAAGGAGCUCUCAUGGCCUGAUCACCUCUUAAAGGCCUCAUCUCUUAGUAGUAUCACAUGGGCUGACUUUUGAAGGGGACCCAUUUAAACCAUAGCAUAACCCAAUUCCGCCCUUCCCAGUGUGAUAAGCUGCCAAAACCCAUCAUGUCUGUCUCUGAGUGAGCGUCUCUUCUUUGUGGCUUUUAAAGUGAGUUGUUUCCUUUUUCCUGGGGUGUCAGGUUGCAACACACAGUGCCUGCUUUCGCGUCUUCACAGGUUUCUCUUCUUUUCAUCAAUGCUUGUGAUGUACUCACGAAACAGAGUCCAUACUUUUCCCCUUCUCUCCUUCCCUCUUUCUCUUUCUUUUCUUUUUUAUCCCUUCCUUUCUUUAAUCUCUGCCUCCUUGAUUCUCCUCUUCUUUGCUCUCUAUCUUUCUCCUUUCUCUGUAUACACUAGUUUUGGUCCUUACUUCUGACAAUCUUGCUUCUUCAAUAAAAUUGUGGGCUCCCUGAGGCCAGCAACCAUGUCCUGGACAUUUGUCCACAUGGUUCUCAGCGAGGUUUUGACCUUCCUGGUCUGUGACUUUGCUGCAAAUACCAAGGCAAGAUCACUGUCUUUCCUCACCCAGCCCUCCUGGGAUGCAUUUUUUGAUUCUUUGAGCUGUCUGCUGUUGAAGCAGCUUUGGUAGCUGAUGGUUGCCUUGUCUCUUUCCUGGAUGGCUGGUGCCUACUCUCAGCCCAGUGUUAGCAGCCACAGCUGCUUGUUUUGGCCGCACAGACCCUUUUUCAAAGGAAAGAAGUGGUUUUGGAUAGCAAGCAGGCAAGUCUAACACUCCCCCUUCUCUGCAUUUCUUUAUUCCCUUGCAGGCAACAAGAAUUCUUGGUGGCUGGAAAAACUAAAAAUAUCUCUGAGCCUUACAUUUCUGACUCACCGUGUCUGAAAACUGAACAAAAACAAACAAAACCCAAAACAAAUUCUCUAGCUCUACUCCUAGGAUAUUAUUGCAGACAAAUACCAUUAUCCAGAUUUCAAAGAGUGAAACCUUGGCUUUUCGUUGCUUGGGUUAUGACCAUGAUGCAGAGAUGCAUGAGAGUAGGAAACAAGAAGUCUCCAGAGAAGGGUGGAUUCGAAACCUUAAGGUUAAAUAGCUAAUGUUGCUGGUGCCCUUGAUACGUACCAGGCACCGGCACCAGGAUAACUGCUUCACAUACAUUUUCUUUUUUCUUUUUCUUUUUUUUUGAGAUGGAGUCUCACUCUGUCACAAGGCUGGAGUGCAGUGGCACGAUUUCAGCUCACGGCAACCUCUGCCUCCCUGGUUCAAGCGAUUCUUCUGCCUCAGCCCUCCCGAGUAGUUGGGACUACAGGCAUAUGCCACCAUGCCCAGCUAAUUUUUGUAUUGUUAGUAGAGACGGGGUUUCACCAUGUUAGCCAAGAUGGUCUUGCUCUCUUGACCUUGUGAUCCGCCCACCUCAGCCUCCCAAAGUGCUGGAAUUACAGGCAUGAGCCACCGCAACCAUUUUUUUUUAAUUUUUUUUAUUUUUUGAGACGGAGUCUUGUUCUGUCACAAGGCUGGAGUGCAGUGGCACAAUCUCAGCUCACUGCAACCAGCUUCACGUACAUUUUCAUUGAGUCCUCAAACAACUGUAGGAGGCAAGCCAAUGUUCCAUAUAUGCCCAUUUGUAAUGAGAAAACUGAGGCUUAAGAAAGGCUAAGUAGUUUACCUUAGCUUACAUACCUAGAGAUGCAAACGUGGGAGGGACUCUGGUUCUCAUUCUCUUCUUAGCUCUUAUAUUGUGCUAUCUCCAAAAGGAAAACGAUAAUUUCAAAGUCAUAGAAAGCUUUUAGGAAUCAGGCUCUGGAGGGAGACAAUCUCACCUAAAAUGAGCUCUCAGAGUAAUAAAUCAUCGCAAGAAGAUUCUGAGGUUUGCCUUUAUUUUGUAUGUUUGGGUUCAUUCGACUAGCCCUGUAAAAGUAUGCUGUUUACUUCUGGACACCAUUGCUACAAUUUUUUGUUGCUGUCACUAGGUAAACAAGCCUCUUAAUUCAGAACCAGUGGCACCAGCAUCAACUGGGAGUUUGUUAGAAAUGCAGGGACUCAGGCCCGACCCCAGACCUCCCAAGUGAGAAUCUCCGCUUGAACGAGACCUACAGGCCCAAUUUGUGAUAAUUAUCUGUAAAUGCUGGAAGAAGAGAGGAUUCGAGGGUGCUCAUCAAAGGGACUAAAGGACACUGGGUUCUUCUUGAGGUCUCAAGUUCCUUUAAGGUGAAGCUACAGUGACACAUUUAGUGGGGAGCGGCCAUAGGCAGAGGUUUCCUUAUAUACGACCUCCUUAAACUCUUAGCUGUUGAGUAGCAGAGGUAGGAGUGUUUAUGUAAUUGAGUUAUUCUUAUUGGGCUGAGAAAACCUACACUUGUUUGAACUGCUUUCUGGGAAGAGAGAAGGGGAGGGAAGCCCCUGUCGGCUGGAAACUAAAGGAACAGAGCAAAGGCAUUAUUUGAGUGCCUCGGGAUGUUCUGUAUUCCAUCUAACAGUGCACUAAAAAAAGAUAAGUUCCUGAGAACAAUUCUGAUUCUGUAGUUCAGUUUAGUUACUUGGCGAUGAGGAACUGGAAUAAAUGUGAAGAACAAACUCUUGGGACAAUAUAGCAGAGAGUAGAGAGUUCAGAAAUGAAGACAACAUUUGCGCUUGUUUUCUUGCUGGGCUUGCAUGUGGAGUGACUAUGCCUUUUUCACCUUCUGAUUGGUUGGAUUCCAAUUAAAUGGUGGUGCCUAUCUUAACCCCUGAAUCAAGACUGAAAGACUUUUGAGAUGGACUUUUGAAAGAGUGUUUGAGGGAACUGUAAUGCCGGCUGUACUGACCUGCAGAAGAUGGUGCAACUGGUUCUGAAAGGCGGACACUGCUGCCUCCGGACCGCUGUCAAAGCAAGAAUAUCACCGUGAAGCAGGCUGAAAGAAAAGCUCUAAAGGGAAAGCUAAGACAUUUUGAUGAGGACGAUGUUUCUUUCUGCUGUAAGGAAAAGCUGUGGAAACACCCCCGGACUGAAAUGCCCCUGGCCCGCCUGACCCGACCCCAGGAGAAGCAGUCGAGUUACCUGACAUCGUGGUCAGCAGGAGCUGGGUCGGUGGCUGGAUGCUGCAGCUGCAGGGACUCAGCGCCUGGGAGGGCUCCUGGGCAGGGAGAGAAGCAGAGAUGCAACAUUUUUAAAGUUUCACAAAGCAUCCGGCUGCACUCAGGUCCCUGGAGCAGGAGACAAACAGAAUUAAUGUUUUAUACCUUCGGGUAUAGGUUUGAGUUUUUUCCCCCUCAUGCCAAGUAUUUAAAACCUCUAGAAACCCAUGAUUUGACAAUCAAUGAUUGCGCGAUACUUUCAAUUUGAAUAUUCAAAGGCUUAACAAAAUGGACUAUCUUCUGCAGAAAUCCUGCACACAGGCACCCCACAGAGAGUCCAGAGAAACAGGGAGUGAGACCCCUUUGGGUCCUGGCCCUUGCUUUUAUUAUAUUUUGAGCAUUUUGUCCUCCUUCCCACAGAUAGAGCAGAUGUCCUCAAAGAUGCUCUGUAUUUCAGCCUUCAGGGCAGCUAGGGAGCCAUGAGUGACUUAGGCUGCCCUGGCCAUGAACACCAGAGCCAGACUGGCUGCCCAGACUGAUUCCCGCAUCCCCCAUCUGUGUUUUGAGGGGAAAUCUCAGGUUUUGGGGAAUGAACAUGGCAGCUAGUGGGUGUGGCACAGCAAGAAGUCGCUCUGGGCCCAGGUGGCAGGCCAGCGGGCCUAGCAGAGGCCUUUGCUCUGCACCUCCUAUUUUUCUGGCUCCGCCUGGCUACCAGCGGGCUUCCCUCGCCCUUUCAUCCCGCUGCCUAUUAAGACCCUUUGCUCCUCCCCACAGAGCUGGGAAUGCCAGGAGCCUCAUCCUCUGGAGACUUUCUGACUCUGGGUUUCACCACUGCACUGUGAAGUGCCCUCUUUGCUUUUUCUCACUCUAGAGCCACCCCUGCCUUUUUGCUGUAGGAGCACAUGUUAGGAAACAGUGACAAGUUUGGCUCCUGCUCAUUUUAACUGAAAGGACGUGGACUUAGGUACAAGCCUUCUCCCGUUGGGGUGAGAAGGGGGAGGGACUUGGGAUCAGGCUUCUCCCAUGGUCCAGGCCCAAGCCCCUCACUAAUGGCUUGGGAUUCUACUGGGUCAUCUUCUGUGAGUACUUACUGUGCCUCUUCCAUGUGAUUUGGAAGAUGAGGAGACAGGAAUGGUCCACAGAGGGAGAGAGUGCCAGGCCAAGUCCUCUCAUAGCCACCCACCCCCUCCACAGAAGGGGACAGCAAGAGAAGACAGACAGGCAUGGUGGGGUUCCUUUUGCAAAUAACCAUGGUAUUUCCAGGAUUCAAGACCAGGCCAUGGUUUUAGGCCUCUGCUGUUUGUUCUCUGAGUUCUCAGAAAUGCGAACAGUGUAGUUUAGCCCCAAAGGCCUCUAGAAAAAGAUUGGGGUGCCCCCAAAUGUGUCAAAUACAAAGGGAAACUCACAGAGCUUAGGGAAAGGGCAACUGAGAACGACAAGACUGAUAGGAAUUGCUUGGCAGCUGAAACCACAUCUCUGGGAGAGAGUAGCAGGCCUGGGAACACCUGAGGUGGCACCUGGCAGUGGAGGGCAGGAUGGAUGUAUUGAAAUCUGACAGCUUUUGGAGCUUCUUUCUACAAAUGCCCCUGAGCCUGUGUCCUAGGUUUCCCUGAUGGACCAGACCUGAGGAGGGGAAGGACAAUGGGAGUGGAGAUAGCACCUCUCCUCCCUGCAUACCUUCUUCCCCGCUGUGCCUAGGCAUCGCCCCUUCUGAAGGAACAGUGAACCAAGCAGCUUGGAAUCUAGGGAUGGUCUCUUGUCCUCAUAGCUUCUUCCAUUCCUUCUUUUCUUUGCUGCUCUCCUCCUUUUUGUUAUACUCUUUUUUUUUAUUUGCUUUUAAAAACUUUCUUCUUUGUUGCAUUUUUGUUUACUUCUUUCCUUGUUUCUUUGUCUCUCUUCCUGUCUCUGCUUUCUUCCAUUUCUUGUCUGCACUACUGGUUUUCUCCCUGACUUCACGUGUCUCUGUGUUCCCCUGUGCUGGGGUGUCCUCCCAAUGCUUUCAGGCUUCAUCUCCUUCCUAACCUCUCCUUUCAUGUGGAGAUGGACAGGGAUGGCAGGAGCAUUGAGUGCUCUUGGCAACACCAUUGAAGAUGAUGCUGACGAUCAGCUACCCUGUGGAGAAGGCAGGCCAGGCUGGGUGAGAGGGGAGCUCCUGGGAAGUCAGGGGGUCUGUAAGGACAGCAAGGAUCUCUUUGUCCCAACCCCCAGCAGCCUUUGUGGGUGCUUCUGUGUUGGCCUUGUUUCUGGGAUGGCCAUCUCAGUGCUGUUGCUGGCUAGCAAUUUCGGAAAACUAGAUUUGUCUAGGCCUGAGCCCUGUUUUGAGAAGGAAGCUUCCCUCUGGUUUGUAGCCCAACAUUAAUGAGUUUUGGUUCCUGUUGUUUCUAUAAUUACAAAACUCCAGCACAGGUAUUUAAGAGCCAAAGGCCAUGCUUGUGGAAGUAAGGGAGAAUCUUUCUAAAUGGAUCCUGCAAAUCCUCCUUACAGAUCUGAGUGGAUGAUCAGGCCCAGAGCAACCCUGAGACCCCAGGUACCCACAGCAUUGGCUGUUCUUCAUAGGAGACUCAGAGAAGACCUCAUAGGAGACUCAUUAUUGUUUACUGGACAUCAGGUGCUGUAUUGUGUAGCAUUCACAUUCCACAGUUUGUACGAGGAGACCAAGACAGUGUAGCCUGCUGACUUGAGAAUGUUCUGUAAGGACUGGAAACACUAGAAGCUUGAAGAAACGCCUGGCUGGAGGUGAGGUGGGGCUACGGUGGAGAGGAUUACAGAUAAAUGCCCUCGUCCACUAACAAAGGGCGGCAUUGAAGCUUAUUCUGAAAAUCCAGUCCUGGAUGAGCUGACACACCUAAAACGAUCUUUGGAAUAUACCUCAAGUUAAAGAAAAACCCAGAAGUCCUUUGGCCCUCCCCUCAAUAAGCUCUGCGGCAUUCAUAUGACCCCCAGGCAAUACUCCCGUCUUCUUUCACCCAAGGAGAAGGGUCAUGGAGGGAACCGGUGUCUGCUUCCUCAUCUGGGGAGAGCGGCCCCACCUUAGGCGGUAGGUCGUUUGACACUGUCAUGAAAGGGGUGAAGGGGUAAGGAGGCGGGGUAGGGUACCCUGGAGUGUGGUGCAGAUCUUCCAGAGCAUGCAGCGAGUAGGACUGAGUCCCAGCCAGGGAGGUCCCCCAGCUGGAGCCCCUGUGCUGGGCGAUGCUCCCGGACUCAAGCUGGGAGAGGCAACUCGUGCUGGGUGGCAAGGUCUGCAGGGCAUCGGCAGACACAGGGUCGGGCUGGCUGAGACCGUCGGGCAACGUCUGCUCCCAUGAGUCCCUCUGAGGAGAAUGGAAAGGCCACGGAGGUUAUUCACUAGGUGACACUCUGAUGAUACGUUGCAUGCUGCCAGACUGUGGCUUCAGGGCAGCCUUCGUCCCCUCUCUCUGCUGCCUGAAGCCUGGCUCUCAGGCUGCUCUUCUCUCUGGCUUUUGACACCAGCAGUGAAAGUUUUCCUCCCUUCCUACUCUAGAAUUAGAUUUGCUAUAGCUAUUGAGAUUUCUUUUCCCAGAAGACAACAUUAAAUGAAUGAAAUGUGAGACUAAUAAAAUGCACAUCUAUGCAACA